UCACUUUGAAAUUGUUACCACGAACUACGAGGUGUUGAUCUCUCAUUUUAUGUUGGUACGUAGGCACAAGUACGAAGAUCUUGUAAAACACAAAAAUAUAAUUAAUGAAUUCUUUUCUCAUACAUCCAUUCUAUUUUAUUGCAAACAUCAAAUACAAAAACACAUAUGCACACAAAAAAGGGCUCCCUAGGAGUACCUAGGACACUUUGGAUGCUAACAUAUUCCCUCUAUG
rnacentral:lncRNA from 1 species